GCUCCCUCUGCAGAGAGGAUGCGUAUAAACCAACCUUGAAAGUGUGCUUGACACGCUAAAGGGUAUCUUAUGGCUUGGGAAACUUGAGAUUGAGCUCUUGCCACAACACAGUUUUCUUGCAGGAUGGGGGAAAUUUUUUAAUCCUCCUUGGAUUUCAAUUCCCCAGCAAUGAACUACAAUACAGAACAAAGACAGGUUGCCAUUCACAGAAGUGCAUUCAGUACAGAAAGUGAUCUGCAGCUCAACAAAAAUCUCUUUUUCGGUAUAGAGCCACAGUCAGAACAGCACUCAAGAUGUUACCGCGCAGGAGGUCACUAAUGUAAGAAGGUGCGUGAUGCUUCUGUGUAAAAGUGUUGCAGCUAUAAGAAGUACUCCUCUCAAAGAUAGUACCGCAUGACUAGAAGAGGUUUGCAGAAAGAUGAGAGCAGUCCUGGGUCUAGAGAAAUUAAUCUGAAGAGCAACUGGAAAUACUGAGCUUGUUUAGGAGUUUAACGUGAUGGACAGAAAGACCAACAUCUACUUUUUCCGGCUCAUAACACUGUGACAAGGAGACAAUCGCCAGAAAGAAGCAAGGAGAAUCAAAAUUGGUGCUUUUUUAUACAACACAAAUAGACUGUGGAACUUGCUGGUGCUGCUGAUGGCAAGAAUUUAGCAAGAGAGAAAAGUUUCAUGGCUGGACCAAGAACGAUGCUGCUCUCAGCUGUAUUCCUGCUAAACUAACUGGAUGAUGCACCACGCACUUGUGAAGAAAAAUCAUACUCCUUGUAAUCGAAGAGGACUGAAGGAUGACACACUGGAAACCUUGGGAGCGGCUAUUCAGAUUCACAGCUUAACCAGCUCAAUUACAUGGCAUGGCCAAGUCACACCCCUGGGUGAACAAUGCUGCUGUUCCUGCACUGCAUUAUUUUUAUGUGAUAUUUAUGCUGAACUGCCCCUCUGCUUGCGUAGUGUGGACUGACUAAAACAAAUCCUGUUGCUGAAGAAUGAAAAACAGGCUUCUAUCAUUGCACUGAAUGGGAGACCUACAUGAAAGAGGAAAUUAGAUGAAUCAAUGAUUGGUACUUUUCUGCUGACUCAGAACUGGAGCAAAGCCCCAUGUGCUUCAACAAAAUCAGAAGGAAUGCAAGAUAAAACCCUGAGAAUUUGUGGUUGAAAAACAAUGGUGCUGUUUUCAUUCAUAUGUGGUCACAUAUUAAUAAUAAAUGGAWCUGUCCUAUAUUUGUCUCUAUAUGU
rnacentral:lncRNA from 1 species